rnacentral:rRNA from 1 species
UACGUAGGGGACGAGCGUUGUCCGGAAUUAUUGGGCGUAAAGAGCUUGUAGGCGGUUUGUCGCGUCUGCUGUGAAAAUCCGGGGCUCAACCCCGGACUUGCAGUGUGUACGGGCAGACUAGAGUGUGGUAGGGGAGACUGGAAUUCCUGGUGUAGCGGUGAAAUGCGCAGAUAUCAGGAGGAACACCGAUGGCGAAGGCAGGUCUCUGGGCCACUACUGACGCUGAGAAGCGAAAGCAUGGGGAGCGAACAGGAUUAGAUA